rnacentral:rRNA from 1 species
GAAGGGAACCCGGGGAACUGAAACAUCUAAGUACCCGGAGGAAAAGAAAGAAAACUCGAUUCCGUAAGUAGCGGCGAGCGAACGCGGAGGAGCCUAAACCGGAAUGCGUGCAUUCCGGGGUUACGGACUGCAUUUAGGAUUCAGUGAUGUUAACAGAACGGUUUUGGGAAAGCCGGCCACAGAGGGUGAAAGCCCCGUACGUGAAAACAGAGCUGACUGAGCAGGAUCCAGAGUACCACGAGACACGUGGAACCUUGUGGGAAAUCAGGGGGACCACCCCCUAAGGCUAAAUACUACUUAGUGACCGAUAGCGCAUAGUACUGUGAAGGAAAGGUGAAAAGGACCCCGGGAGGGGAGUGAAAGAGAACCUGAAACCCUGUGUCUACAAGCUGUGGAAGCACUUUAUAUGUGCGACCGCGUACUUUUUGUAGAACGGUCCGGCGAGUUACGCUUACUGGCAAGGUUAAGCACUUCAGGUGUGGAGCCGUAGGGAAACCAAGUCUUAAGAGGGCCAGAGUCAGUAGGAGUAGACCCGAAACCGGGUGAUCUAUCCAUGUCCAGGUUGAAGCUGCCGUAAGAGGUAGUGGAGGACCGAACCCACAUCCGUUGAAAAGGGUGGGGAUGAGGUGUGGAUAGGGGAGAAAUUCCAAUCGAACCCGGAGAUAGCUGGUUCUCCUCGAAAUAGCUUUAGGGCUAGCCUCGAUACAGAUUUGCGGAGGUAGAGCACUGAAUUUCCUAGGGGGCGUCAAAGCCUACCGAAGAAUAUCAAACUCCGAAUGCCGCGUAAUCGAUUAUCGGGAGUCAGACUGCACGAGAUAAGUUGGGCGGUCAAAAGGGAAAGAGCCCAGACCUUCAGUUAAGGUCCCAAAGUGCGCGUUAAGUGGAAAAGGAUGUGGGAUUUCGAAGACAACCAGGAUGUUGGCUCAGAAGCAGCCAUCCAUUCAAAGAGUGCGUAAUAGCUCACUGGUCGAGAGGUCCUGCGCCGAAAAUGUCCGGGGCUGAAACGCGCCACCGAAACUAAGGAACCGAAAGGUUGGUAGAGGAGCAUUGCAUGCGGAACGAAGCAGUACCGUAAGGAGCUGUGGACUGCAUGGAAGAGAGAAUGCCGGAAUGAGUAGCGAGAUAGAGGUGGGAAUCCUCUAGGCCGAAUAUCCAAGGUUUCCAGAGUAAAGCUGAUCUGCU